AUUGAACGCUAGCGGCAGGCUUAACACAUGCAAGUCGAGGGGUAGAAGUUGCUUGCAACUUUGAGACCGGCGCACGGGUGCGUAACGCGUAUGCAAUCUACCUUAUACAGAGGGAUAGCCCAGAGAAAUUUGGAUUAAUACCUCAUAGUAUAAUUGAAUGGCAUCAUUUAAUUAUUAAAGUUCCAACGGUAUAAGAUGAGCAUUCGUCCUAUUAGCUAGAUGGUAAGGUAGCGGCUUACCAUGGCAACGAUAGGUAGGGGUCCUGAGAGGGAGAUCCCCCACACUGGUACUGAGACACGGACCAGACUCCUACGGGAGGCAGCAGUGAGGAAUAUUGGACAAUGGGCGCAAGCCUGAUCCAGCCAUGCCGCGUGCAGGAAGAAGCAUCUAUGGUGUGUAAACUGCUUUUGUACGGGAAGAAACACUCCUUCGUGAAGGAGCUUGACGGUACCGUAAGAAUAAGGAUCGGCUAACUCCGUGCCAGCCGCCGCGGUAACAC
rnacentral:rRNA from 1 species